GCCAUCUCUAUUUAUAUCUACAUUUAUCCCAUCAAAAGACUUAAUCCUAAUUAGAGUUGAACUUCCAGUCUAAGUCUUAUUAGAAAUAAAACUUUUUAAUUAAUUAGACUUACUGUAAUUAAUUUAGGACAUAUGGCUAACCUAAAGAGUUAAACAUGGCUAAGUGAUAAUUAGGUCAUAUUAGGAGUCAAAUCCAACAAAACAAUCAUCACUUCUACUAAUAAAAAGUAAUAGAUUUGCA
rnacentral:lncRNA from 1 species